rnacentral:rRNA from 1 species
CCUACGGGAGGCAGCAGUGGGGAAUAUUGCGCAAUGGGCGAAAGCCUGACGCAGCGACGCCGCGUGAGGGAUGAAGGUCCUCGGAGCGGAAAACUCUGUCAGCAGGGAAGAACGGUCACUGUGCUAAUCAGCAGUGAAUUGACGGUACCUGCAAAGGAAGCACCGGCUAACGCCGUACCAGCAGCCGCGGUAAUACGGAGGGGGCGAGCGUUAAUCGGAAUUACUGGGCGUAAAGCGCGCGUAGGCGGUAGGUCAAGUCAAGGGUGAAAUCCCCGCGCUCCACGUUGGAACUGCCUUUGAAACUGGCAGACUGGAGUGUGUGAGAGGAUAGUGGAAUUCCAGGUGUAGCGGUGAAAUCCGUAGAUAUCUGGAGGAACAUCAGUGGCGAAGGCGGCUAUCUGGAACAUAACUGACGCUGAGGAGCGAAAGCGUGGGUAGCAAACAGGAUUAGAUACCCUUGUAGUC